rnacentral:rRNA from 1 species
GACGAACGCUGGCGGCGUGCCUAAUACAUGCAAGUCGAACGCAGUGGGGACGGGUGAGUAACACGUGGGUAACCUCCCAUCAGAGGGGAUAACAAUUGGAAAAAGGUGCAAAACCGAUACUGAUGGAUGAACCCGCGGUGCAUUAGCUAGUUGGUGAGGUAACGGCUCAACAAGGCAACGAUGCAUAGCGGACCUGAGAGGGGGAACGACCACACUGGGACUGAGACGCGGCCAAGGCUCCUACAGGACGCAGCAGUAGGGAAUCUUCGUCAAUUGACGAAAGUCUGACCGAGCAACGCCGCUUGAGUGAAGAAGGUUUUCGGAUCGUAAAACUCUGUUGUUAGAGAAGCGGUAUCUAACCAGAAAGCCACGGCUAACUACGUGCCAGCAGCCGCGGGAAUAG